CACUGGAUGAGAGAAAGAAAUAAAAAAAGGUGUUGGCUGAAAAAGGUAUAACAGGGAAAGAGAAAGAAGGCACGAAAGUAAGGAUCUUCUUUUAUUUCAGUUAUUUAUUUAUUUUUCUCCCCUGCUCCGUCGUGAACCUUCUGUUUGGAGAGAGGAAGGCAGCAGCACAGCUCUCCUCACUGGCAACACAGGAGAGAGGCGCCUGCUGCUGCUGCUGCUGCUGCUGCUGCAUCCGGGAUUCACCUCACCUGCACAGGACGGGAUCCUGGAUUGAUCACGGUCUUCCAACAACUGUCCAGAUUUCAGCCUGGAUGGAGGCGGCACCGGCUCCCCGCUAAUUCAGUGGACAUUCAGCUGCAACUCCUGGGGACUUCCUGGCAGGACUGGGAGCUUGUAUCGGAGCUGUCCAAUCAGUGUAUUUACACGGGUUGUUAGCGACAGUUAAUGAGGGCUCCUCCCCGGGCCGGUAGAGAAAAGGCGCCUCAACAUUAAGAUUUACCUUGUGUCAACUCGUUACUUCUAAUGAACCUCCCUGAAAAAGCCUCCUUCAUAGUCAAUGGAGCCGCGCGCCCGGAUCUUGUGUGUGUGGGACUGGAAGAGUGGAGCUGCAAGCCGGGCUCCCUUCUCUCCCCCACAUCCAUUUUUUUUUUCUUCAGCUCACAGAGAGUGGCUUUUUCUUUUUUUUUUCUUUUUUUUUUUUUUAGCCCUCUCUUGCACACCCAGCCUUAUGAUGCAUGCAUGUUUUGUGUGGUGCAUGCCGGCUCUUUAUGUCACAACAGCACAUGGAUGAACUGUGCUAAACGUAGUUUACAAGCGUUUGGCUGUAAGUUAGCUAAUUCCACUCUGGAGAUUUUUAGACUUAAGUCAAAUAGAAACUAUGACAGAGAAGCUGGAGGGAGACGUUUGCCUCUAUCACAAACUCAGAGCAUCUGCCAUUGCUUGCUGAAUGAGGCUUGACAUGUCAACUUAUUGCCUCUGCAGAAAAGAAGUUCAUUUAUUCCCCUCCCCCCACCCCCAGGUUUUCUCCCCCUCCCCAAGAGCAGAUCAGCCUCUGGCCCCUGUGUCCAUCCCUCAUCUGGCCCCCAGUGUGGCUUGUUGAGCCGCAUCAGCAACACAUCACUGCCCAUGAAUUCAGGUACAAACUGGAGGAGUUUGGCAGAUCACUAAAAGUGGAUUUCCCUCCCACUCUUUCCAAACCACAGAAACACUUAAAAAUCAAUUAGCCUUGUCUGGCCCUCUGCCUGCACCAGUCACCAUUAGAAAAAAACAAAACAAAACAAAACAACAAAAACAGGUGAGUUCCACAGGACCAAACUGUGAAUAUUUGGGAUUUAUUACCAGCUUUAAUUACAGU